UGAUUGGGCACCUCCUGGAUUCCCAUCGGCUUCUAUUGUAAGUGGCCAGUGCCCUGUCUGUGUCAGAAAACGGCAUUGCCUCCAUGUUAAAUAUGGGCAAGAUGGUGGGAAAAGUAGUAUGUAAGCAUAAUAAAUAAAUAUGUUUUUUAAAGAGUGCGUUUUGUUUAGUUGUUAGCCCUUAGCGCACAAUAAAAUGAAACAAGUUUGGGUGAUCUCUGCGACGUGGUGUCCAUAUUUUACAUGAAAGCCUAGGUCUAUUCUGUAACACGUAGAGACGGGGUGCUGGCCAGUGUGCUGGGAAACUGCUUGGCCACCACGCACAAUCUACGCUGUUAUACUUUGCCGGUAGCAAAUCGUAGCGCAGAAGCACAGGUACAAAUGUUUAAUCAAUGGGACGGCAUGCUGUCUACCGUUCGUCAUGAUGUCAAACUAACAAGCACGAACAGCGACAAUUGUGUACGUUGCUGGUCCGUAGUUCAUUUCGCGCCGGUUGCUUCACGUAUUAAAAUAAAUAUUUCUUUUUAAUACAAACGAUUAAAACUGUGCGCGCACACAGGGCGCGACAUUUGCGACGUUUGAAUUUUGCACUAUUUCCCGCGCGCUCCGUACGUGACCGGCCGGCGCACUGCGUUACCGCGAUAAAGAAAAUAGUUCCUCAAGGAAGCUAAGCAGAAAAUUUUCACACUCUUGCAAACCACAGAAAUUGUUAAGAAAUACCAUUAUAUUACAAGAUUUGUUAAUAAAUAUGGCAAUUCAUAUCUAUGAAAGCGUGGAUUUGUAUGCGCGUUUUUGUGUGAAUGCGCGCUUGCGCUGUUGACUCUUUGGCGGAUUCCGGAACUUUGUGCGUGCGGCGUAUGUGUGCGGGUUGCGUGAUGAGUUUGCUGCGUUUUCUGUGCCCUUUGCCUCGCUGUGACAUCUUUGGUAUAUUACAACUUAUUGCUCGGUCUUAAUGGGCUACACGUUGCCUCGAAGAUCACCAUGAUCGCCUCCGACUCAGCCACAUCGAAGAAUCAAAAUGAGCCUGGAGACGCCACAGCCGGAAUGCGAAAGGUGAAUUCUUUGGCCAUUCAUCGUCUAGCGUCACCAUGAUCAAAUGCACUGUUGCCAGGAGAAUGUAUUGCUGGGAGGUAUUCUCCUUAAGAUUUAGUAAAAAUGGUAGCAUUAAGUGUCUCCUUUGCGAUUUUGCAUAGCCUUUGAUUUGCGAGUCGAUUCAUUUAUUUGAUGAGGUGGGCAGUUGGCACACCCUGUCUUUGUGUCUUAUGUACACAUUCAGCUGAGUAGGUCUGGGACACAGCAAGCGAAUCUGAUGUGUAGUGGUAAUCGCAUUAACGUCGACAGUUAUCUUCCUGUUUGAGCUGCUUGCUACUGCUGCUUGCCAACACAAGCAGCAGUUGCCCACGAUGGCGUGAAAGAGGUUCAUUGAAGAAUGGCACAUACUCUGAGUCACAUACCCAGAGAUCCAAGCAGGUCCAUCAGAUGGUUAUUAACCCACUUCCCGUCUACAUAGCAGCCCUACCCAUUAGGCCAUUGACCACCAAGUGACACAAAUUGGCUGGAAAAUAGUUAGACAGACACCCGAAAGUUGGAGAAGUGCUCAUUCAGACGAUCCUGGCACAGCUUGCCAUGGUGGACCAGGCAAGUUUGCAAGGGCCUUGAUUCACCAUGUGUUCACAGAGAACCUCAUGGGCCACUCACUUCUUGGAAACACCACCACCAAUAGGCAAAAAGAGGCUCUUGGCCUUAUCAGGGUCAACGCUGUUAUAGGCAAGUACCGUACAUCCUUUUACCCAUUGCAUUUUUGCCUUCACAUUUUGUACUUGGAAUUACCAGCUUGCUAUUAGCACAACAAAUGACUUUCAAGUAGCCUGUGUCUGCAACUACGUGCUACAAUAGCCUACUAUUUGGAAUGAAUGUUCAUUUGAUCUCAAGUCUCUAACGCCUCCAUACUAAAGUGCUAAAUUUUAAAAGCAGCCUUAACUGCCAGAAGUGAUUGGUGGCUCCAACUGACAAAGUUAGGUGUAUUUGCGCAUUAGUUGCACUACUUGACUGUCAUUGCAAUGAACAGUUGGAAUGAAGCAACUACCAAUCUGUAGUACCAAUCUGUGAAGCUUGCUACCAAUCUGGUGCUAUAGCGGGUGUGCUUAAGUAGCCUGAAAGUGUUGUUAUAAUAUAGGAAUUGUGGAGAAGCUAUGCUCAAGUGCAGUUACUGCUCAACUCGAGGGACAGCACUUCCACCAAAUUUCAGCAAUCAAUAUGGCCCUCCAGAUUCUGUAACGCAAAACAUAGUGGUUUCACCUAUUUCAACAGACCACAUUGAAUUAAAGUUGCUCCUGUCUUGAAGGAGGUCCAUGUGGUGGCAGACAGUAGCCUUUAAGCAGAGGGAGCUUAAGUUACGGGGCAUAAUUGUUUGGUUGUUUCGAUCAAAGCAACAAUAGGAACAGUUGCCAAAUUCGUUGUCAACAUUGCUAUGUUUAGCAAUGUCCAUUCAUUCUAGGCACUCAACCAAUUAAGAUCCAAUUUAUCACAUUGUAUUCUAGGAUGUGGAAAAAACAAAGGUAUUUAUUUGACUUUUCCUCACGUUCCCAUAAAAUGAUCAGUACUCAAUAGGCCCUUGGCAGCUACUAUAUAAAGCUUCUUACAGAACAUGAGGCAUGUCCACAGCUCCCACUCUGAAAUUGUUGGAAAUGUCUCCUGCUUUCUUACUUCAAGGACGCACUUGCCUGUUUUCAGCGUUAUUAUAAACCAGUGCUCAAGUACUAUGGGUUUAGAUUUAUCAAAGAUUGAAUGAGCUUUGUAGGUGUUCAUGUUUAACCCUUUGAGGAUCACAUAUUUUCCGGCAAACGUCCCCCAAUUUAAGCGUUAUAUUUUUAUUCUGGAUUGUUCUUCAGUGACCUUUCCAGAAAAAAAAUGGGUAAAUAAUUUUUUAGGUCACAAAGUGACAAAGGUUUCUUAGUGUCCGCUGUUUUACACCAUGUUUAUUGUAGCAUGCAGGGCAAACUAGCAUAAUCACAUUUUUUAAAUGUAAUGACACUCACAAAACAUUAAACUAGGUGAAUACUCCCAAACUACUGCAGUGAUGGGCACCAUAGAAUAAAGAGAAAGAUCAGUUUUGGAAGAAGCCAAGGGGCAACAGCACAAUCAGGAUUUUUGUAGAAGUCGCAGAAGGUUACAGAAUCUGUAAUGUGAUGCUUGGGGACACUUCAUUCUUAAAAGGUAUGCUUAUUUAUAUGUUCUUUCGCCGCCUCAUAUUUAUGGUCGUGACCACACGAUUUGUUUCCACCACUCUACAUGCAUGGCAGUGACCCUCAAAGGAUUAGCAGAGCCAGUCCACUUGCAUAUUUCUCUUGUAAGACUGAGCAUUUCUUCGUAUUUCUUCUUCGCAUUUAUUUGUGUUAGUGUAACCAGGUCGGCGUGCAACUGCAGUAAAUCCUCGUUAUAAGCAGUAUUUUGUUUUCAGUAGAGAGGCAUAAGAAUGGUCAUCACGAUGCGAGAAGUGCACUCCAGUAGCAUAUGAGCUUGUAAAACAAAUUCAGAUAUACCACACUCAAUUCUGGCCGCAUAACCGUAUUUGGAGCAACUCCUGCAAGGAAAAGUUCAAUAAAGUGCUGCACAUUUUGAUUAUGAUUGUUGAGAGAACUAAUUUUAGUUGCCAGUAGUCUACCUUUAAGUUUUUUCACCAACAGUAUGAAGUCUUUUUUCCACCAUUUUGUUCCUAAGCAAGCAACAUUCACAUUUUCACAUCAAGGAUAUUCAUGAAGUUAUUCUGCCACAGUGGGCUUUUCCUGUUUGCCUUCUGCAUAUUGUACUAAGUGGAGUCCUCCGGUGCCACUCCACUUUGAAAGCUGGUCAUUCUCUAGAAUUGAACUCGUGAAAACUUGGAAUAAACAAACAAAUGAAACAGUUUCAUUAUAACAGGGUGUA